UCUCGUUGACCCAAUGACUUCCUUCGCGCCUUGCGCGGAGGAGUUCACUAUGCGACCCCAGGUCAGGCGGGGCUACCCGCUGAGUUUAAGCAUAUC
rnacentral:rRNA from 2 species